AAUUACACCUAAUUAAUACAUCACAAAUUAUACUUAUAUAUAGUAGAAAUAUAAAAAAUACAAAUUGUAAAAUCACUUACUUUUCACUCAAGCAGUUGCCCCGUACCUUUUGCAUCAUGGUUUAACAAGUCUUAUUCCUUCUGCUUACUCCCGAAAUUCUCUCGAGCUGAAUCAACACUGAUAAGAUACCCGUAAUACAAUGUUGCAAUAUUGAAUUAAGAUGUUGUUCCAGAGGCUACAUACCCCCGCGAAGAAUGAUAGCUGGUUACCUUAAUUUUUGACCUUAGUCAAAAAAGCCCUAACGCUAUUAAAUUAUUAAAGGCAAAGCUUUAAUAAAAUCUCUAUCCUGUGUUUAAAUAUUUUAUAUAUAGGCCUAAAACCAGCCACUUUAACCCGUUACAGGGUUUAAUUUUCACACCGUAUAAUAAUAAAUCUUUGCAUCUUAUAAAGGUAAUGUUUUCAUUUAAAAAACUUUCUAUAAUGUUAUAACUAGUAAUUACUCUCUCCAUUUGUGUAAAUUAACAAUUUUAACCAAAUAAUACUCACUUAUUUUAAACCCAAAUAAGGAACUCGGCAACUACUUAUUCAGCCUGUUUAACAAAAACACCGCCUAUUGAACAUAUAAUAGGUCCAUCCUGCCCAGUGAAUUAAUUUUCAACGGCCGCGGUAUCCUGACCGUGCAAAGGUAGCAUAAUCAUUUGCCUUUUAAUUGAAGGCUAGUAUGAAAGGACACACAAGAAUAAUACUGUCUCAUUUGGGUUAUCUUAAAACUGAUUUUUAGGUGAAGAAGCCUAAAUUUCCAUAAAGGACAAGAAGACCCUAUAGAGCUUUAUCAGUAAAAGUUAUUAAACUCCCCUACUGAUUUGGUUGGGACAACCAAAAGACAAUUAUACCUCUUUUUUUAAAAAUAUAACUCACACCCAUAACUGAAUUAGAAUUUCAAGCUACCUUAGGGAUAACAGGCUAAUCCCACUAGAGAGACCACAUUGACAGUGGGGAUUGGCACCUCGAUGUUGGCUUAGUGUUACCAUUAGGCGCAGCCGCUUAAUUGAGUUGGUUUGUUCAACCAUUAAAUCACUACAUGAGCUGAGUUCAGACCGGCGUAAGCCAGGUUAGAUUCUAUCCUUAUUAGGAAAAUUAAAUUAUAGUACGAAAGGACCUAAUCUUAUAGAUAUUAUCUUUAUAAAUUUUUAUAUAAU
rnacentral:rRNA from 1 species